GACGAACGCUGGCGGCGUGCCUAACACAUGCAAGUUGAGCGACGAACCAGGGCUUGCCCUGGGGCAAAGCAGCGAACGGGUGAGUAACACGUGGGUAACGUACCCCGAUGACCGGGACAACCCGAGGAAACUCGGGCUAAUACCGGAUGUGCUCGCUGAACAUCAGUUCAGUGAACAAAGGAAGCUUCGGCCUCCGCAUCGGGAGCGGCCCGCGGCCCAUUAGCUAGUUGGUGAGGUAACGGCUCACCAAGGCAACGAUGGGUAGCUGGUCUGAGAGGACGAUCAGCCACACUGGGACUGAGACACGGCCCAGACUCCUACGGGAGGCAGCAGUGGGGAAUCUUGCGCAAUGCGCGAAAGCGUGACGCAGCAACGCCGCGUGGGGGAAGAAGGCCUUCGGGUUGUAAACCCCUUUCAGGAGGGACGAAGGUUCGGUGGUGAAUAGCCAUUCGGACUGACGGUACCUCCACAAGAAGCCCCGGCUAACUACGUGCCAGCCGCCGCCGUAACAC
rnacentral:rRNA from 1 species